rnacentral:rRNA from 1 species
GAUGAACGCUGGCGGCAGGCCUAACACAUGCAAGUCGAGCGACCACACGAGAAGCGUGUUCCUCUGACGUUAGCGGCGGACGGGCGAGUAACACGUGGAUCACCAACCUAUAAGACUGGGGUAACUUCGGGAAACCAGAGCUAAUACCGGAUCAUAUAUUGAACCGCUUGAAUCAAUAGUGCUAGACGGCUUUGCCGACACUAAUAGCUGGAUCCGUGUCGCAUUAGCUAGUUGGUAAGGUAACGGCUUACCAAGGCAACGAUGCGUAGCCGAUCUGAGAGGGUGAUCAGCCACACUGGAACUGAGACACGGUCCAGACUCCUACGGGAGGCAGCAGUAGGGAAUCUUCCGCAAUGGGCGAAAGCCUGAUGGAGCCACGCCGCGUGGGUGAAGAAGGUCUUCGGAUCGUAAAACUCUUUUAUUAGGAAAGAACAAAUGUAUGAGUAACUACGCACGUUUUGACGGUACCUAAACAAAAAGCAACGGCUAACUUCGUG